rnacentral:rRNA from 1 species
AACGAACGCUGGCGGCGUGGAUUAGGCAUGCAAGUCGAACGCGAAAGAGGGGGUAACUCCUCGAGUAGAGUGGCGAACGGGUGAGUAACACGUGAGAAACCUGCCUUCAGCAGGGGGAUAACACUCCCAACGGGGUGCUAAUACCGCAUGAGACCACGGAUUCGCAUGGAUCUGGGGUCAAAGGUGGCCUCUGCUUGCAAGCUACCGGCUGAAGAUGGUCUCGCGCCCAUUAGCUAGUUGGUGGGGUAAUGGCCCACCAAGGCGACGAUGGGUAGCUGGUCUGAGAGGAUGGUCAGCCACACUGGGACUGAGAUACGGCCCAAGACUCCUACGGGAGGCAGCAGUCGAGAGGCUUUGGCAAUGGGGAAACCCUGACCAAGCGACGCCGCGUGGGGGAUG